GUGUUCGCUUUGGCAGCACAUCUACUAGAACUGGAAUGAUACAGGGAUGAUUGUGGCCCCUGCACAAAGAUGACAUGCACAUUCUUGAAGCAUCCCAACAUAAA
rnacentral:snRNA from 1 species